GAUGAACGCUGACAGAAUGCUUAACACAUGCAAGUCGAUUCGAUUUACCUUCGGGUAUUGAGGAUGGCGGACGGGUGAGUAACGCGUAAGGAACUUGCCUCUUGGUCUGGGACAACUGUUGGAAACGACAGCUAAUACCGGAUAUUAUGAGAUUCUCGCAUGGGAAACUUAUGAAAGCUAUAUGCGCCAAGAGAGAGCCUUGCGUUCCAUUAGCUAGUUGGCGGGGUAACGGCCCACCAAGGCGACGAUGGAUAGCCGGCCUGAGAGGGUGAACGGCCACAAGGGGACUGAGACACGGCCCUUACUCCUACGGGAGGCAGCAGUGGGGAAUAUUGGACAAUGGGCCACAAGCCUGAUCCAGCAAUUCUGUGUGCACGAUGAAGGUCUUCGGAUUGUAAAGUGCUUUCAGUUGGGAAGAAGAAAGUGACGGUACCAACAGAAGAAGCGACGGCUAAAUACGUGCCAGCAGCCGCGGUAAUACGUAUGUCGCAAGCGUUAUCCGGAUUUAUUGGGCGUAAAGCGCGUCUAGGCGGAAAAAUAAGUCUGAUGUUAAAAUGCGGGGCUCAACUCCGUAUUGCGUUGGAAACUGUUUUUCUAGAGUACUGGAGAGGUGGGCGGAACUACAAGUGUAGAGGUGAAAUUCGUAGAUAUUUGUAGGAAUGCCGAUGGAGAAGUCAGCUCACUGGACAGAUACUGACGCUAAAGCGCGAAAGCGUGGGGAGNAAACANGAUUAGAUACCCUGGUAGUCCACGCCGUAAACGAUGAUCACUAGG
rnacentral:rRNA from 1 species